rnacentral:rRNA from 1 species
GACGAACGCUGGCGGCGUGCUUAACACAUGCAAGUCGAACGGUAAGGCCCCUCGGGGUACACGAGUGGCGAACGGGUGAGUAACACGUGGGUGAUCUGCCCUGCACUUCGGGAUAAGCCUGGGAAACUGGGUCUAAUACCGGAUAGGACCCUGGGAUGCAUGUCCUGGGGUGGAAAGCUUUUGCGGUGUGGGAUGGGCCCGCGGCCUAUCAGCUUGUUGGUGGGGUGAUGGCCUACCAAGGCGACGACGGGUAGCCGGCCUGAGAGGGUGACCGGCCACACUGGGACUGAGGUACGGCCCAGACUCCUACGGGAGGCAGCAGUGGGGAAUAUUGCACAAUGGGCGCAAGCCUGAUGCAGCGACGCCGCGUGAGGAAUGACGGCCUUCGGGUUGUAAACCUCUUUCAGCACCGACGAAGCGCAAGUGACGGUAGGUGCAGAAGAAGGACCGGCCAACUACGUGCCAGCCGCCGCCGUAA